rnacentral:rRNA from 1 species
UAAGGAAUAUUGGUCAAUGGACGCAAGUCUGAACCAGCCAUGCCGCGUGAAGGAUUAAGGCCCUCUGGGUUGUAAACUUCUUUUAUAGGGGAAGAAAUGUGACGGUUCUCCGUCACUUGACGGUACCCUGGGAAUAAGCACCGGCUAACUCCGUGCCAGCAGCCGCGGUAAUACGAAGGGUGCAAGCGUUACUCGGAAUUACUGGGCGUAAAGCGUGCGUAGGUGGUUGUUUAAGUCUGAUGUGAAAGCCCUGGGCUCAACCUGGGAAUGGCAUUGGAAACUGGGCAGCUAGAGUGCGGUAGAGGGUAGUGGAAUUCCCGGUGUAGCAGUGAAAUGCGUAGAGAUCGGGAGGAACAUCUGUGACGAAGGCGACUGCCUGGACCAGCACUGACACUGAGGCACGAAAGCGUGGGGAGCAAACA